rnacentral:rRNA from 1 species
AUCGAACGCUGGCGGCAGGCUUAACACAUGCAAGUCGAGCGAGCGGCGGACGGGUGAGUAAUGUCUGGGAAACUGCCUGAUGGAGGGGGAUAACUACUGGAAACGGUAGCUAAUACCGCAUACCACAGGAUGUGCACAGAUGGGAUUAGCUAGUAGGGGGGGUAAAGGCGCACUGAGGCGACGGUCCCUAGCGGGUUUGAGAGGAUGACAUGCCAACCGGGAACUUAGACACGGUCCUGACUCCUACGUGGUGCAGCAGGGGGGAAUAUUGCCCAAUGGGCGCAAGCCUGAUGCAGCCAUGCCGCGUGUGUGAAGAAGGCCUUCGGGUUGUAAAGCACUUUCAGCGAGGAGGCGUUACUCGCAGAAGAAGCACCGGCUAACUCCGUGCCAGCAGCCGCGGUAAUUC